GAUGAACGCUGGCGGCGUGCCUAAUACAUGCAAGUCGAGCGAACAGACGAGGAGCUUGCUCCUCUGACGUUAGCGGCGGACGGGUGAGUAACACGUGGAUAACCUACCUAUAAGACUGGGAUAACUUCGGGAAACCGGAGCUAAUACCGGAUAAUAUAUUGAACCGCAUGGUUCAAUAGUGAAAGACGGUUUUGCUGUCACUUAUAGAUGGAUCCGCGCCGCAUUAGCUAGUUGGUAAGGUAACGGCUUACCAAGGCAACAAUGCGUAGCCGACCUGAGGGGGUGAUCGGCCACACUGGAACUGAGACACGGUCCAGACUCCUACGGGAGGCAGCAGUAGGGAAUCUUCCGCAAUGGGCGAAAGCUUGACGGAGCAACGCCGCGUGAGUGAUGAAGGUCUUCGGAUCGUAAAACUCUGUUAUUAGGGAAGAACAAAUGUGUAAGUAACUAUGCACGUCUUGACGGUACCUAAUCAGAAAGCCACGGCUAACUACGUG
rnacentral:rRNA from 1 species